rnacentral:misc_RNA from 1 species
GAUGAAGAACGCAGCGAAAUGCGAUACUUGGUGUGAAUUGCAGAAUCCCGUGAACCAUCGAGUCUUUGAACGCAAGUUGCGCCCGAAGUCACUAGGCCGAGGGCACGCCUGCCUGGGCGUCACACGUCGUUGCCCCCCACCAUCUACUCCUUCGGGAUUGCGGGGGGCGGAUGAUGGCCUCCCGUGCGCCUAGCCGCGCGGUUGGCAUAAAUACCAAGUCCUCGGCGACGCACGCCACGACAAUCGGUGGUUGCGAAACCUCGGUUGCCCGUCGUGUGCGUUCGUCGCGCAUCGAGGGCUCGAAAAAAUGCUCGGCUCCGGCUCGGCUUUCAACGCGACCCCAGGUCAGGCGGGGUUACCCGCUGAAUUUAAGCAUAUCAAUAAGCGGAGGA